GGUUAUACUGUCUCCUUUCUCUAAUCAGUGAAACUAAUCUCCCCGUGAAGAAGCGGGGAUAAAACUAUAAGACGAGAAGACCCCAUGGAGCUUUAAACCUAGCCACACCCAGAAUCUUUAUACCUAACUAUUAUCUGAACCCUGUAAGCUAGGCUUUAGGUUGGGGUGACCGCGGAGUAAAACAAAACCUCCGCAAUGAACGAAACUACCGUCUUAUCUAAGAAUAACCCCUCUAAGAAUUAGCACUCUAACAUAAAUGAUCCAAUUAUUGAUCAACGGACCAAGUUACCCUGGGGAUAACAGCGCAAUCCACUUCAAGAGCUCCUAUCGACAGGUGGG
rnacentral:rRNA from 1 species